rnacentral:lncRNA from 1 species
GCUUGGUCUAUACUGUGAGUUCAAAGCCGUUCAGGAAGAAGAGUGAAAUUUCCAUGAGCAGAAAUGAGGGGGAGGGGAGACUGCAGGUAGAGCAAAUAUGGGAGGAAAAAGGAAAGAUGAAGAAUCAUCUUCCCCAUACCCCCAACACAAUUGGUGAGUUAUUUUAUACUAAGUGCUCAGAGGUAUACAUUUAAGAAAUCUCAUAAAGCUAAUCACCUUCCUACCAAAUAUUAAAGACAUUCAAAUUGAGGAUAAUAGAAAAUCCUUGGUCUCCUUAAAUUGUAUGACUUGAGAUACAUCUAGAUGUAUUUUAACCUAUGACCUCCACACAGGUAUGACAAGCAGCCAUGAAUGAACACACGUGCAUACACACACACACACACACACACACACACACACACACACACAUACUUAUAUAAUUUUUAAUUAUUGUUUGAGAAUUUCAUUCGUACAUGAAUAUUUUGUGUUUUGAAAAAAUCCAAUCCCCCACUCCCUCCACACACCCUCCCCCAUUCCCUCUCCCAUUCCCUCCCCACACCCUCCCCCACUCCCUCCACACACCCUCCC